UACGUAGGGUGCGAGCGUUAAUCGGAAUUACUGGGCGUAAAGUGUGCGCAGGCGGCGUCGCAAGUCGAGUGUGAAAGCCCCGGGCUUAACUUGGGAAUGGCGCUCGAAACUACGAUGCUGGAGUGUGGCAGAGGAAGGUGGAAUUCCACGUGUAGCGGUGAAAUGCGUAGAGAUGUGGAGGAACACCGGUGGCGAAGGCGGGUCUCUGGGCCGAUACUGACGCUGAGGAGCGAAAGCGUGGGGAGCGAACAGG
rnacentral:rRNA from 1 species